AAAGGGGGGAGAGGGGCGGAGAAAAUUAUUCCAAACAUCGGGGUCGCACGCCUCACCCCUGUUCAUCUCGUUUCCCCUCCCUCUCUGUAGGGUUAGUCUCUCUGUCGUCUAUUUGUGCUCACAUCGACCGGCGAUUUGCAUCCAACCUCUCCCAUCCCCCACACAUAGGCACCCUCUGCUGGAUUCGGUGGCCAUCUACGGCAUCCCCCGACGAGCUAGGGAUUCCGUAGCGGCAUCCAUGCACGGGGUGUGGAAGCGCAGAUCAAGAAAGAUAUUAACAGAGAAGGGGGUCUGGAAUCAGUUAGGUUACGUUACCGGGCCGUAUUUGUAGGUGAGCUACCCAUCACUUUUGAGAAAUUUUACAAUGGUUGAAAAAAAAGGACUGUCCAUCCAGAAGAAUCUAGUGGUUGAGAAAUAGAAAGUACCUAAAGAAAAGUACUGUAAAGUACAAAAAGGUGGGCCUAGUACUUAAAAAAGUGGGACUGUAACUCAUAUUAAUUUAUUUUUUAUUUUGAUAAAGGGUAUAUUUGUAAACUCUCCAAUACAUACUUGUGAUCACA